rnacentral:rRNA from 1 species
GAUCAUUACAAGUUGACCCCGGCCCUCGGGCCGGGAUGUUCACAACCCUUUGUUGUCCGACUCUGUUGCCUUCGGGGCGACCCUGCCUCCGGGCGGGGGCCCCGGGUGGACAUUUCAAACUCUUGCGUAACUUUGCAGUCUGAGUAAAUUUAAUUAAUAAAUUAAAACUUUCAACAACGGAUCUCUUGGUUCUGGCAUCGAUGAAGAACGCAGCGAAAUGCGAUAAGUAAUGUGAAUUGCAGAAUUCAGUGAAUCAUCGAAUCUUUGAACGCACAUUGCGCCCCCUGGUAUUCCGGGGGGCAUGCCUGUUCGAGCGUCAUUUCACCACUCAAGCCUCGCUUGGUAUUGGGCGACGCGGUCCGCCGCGCGCCUCAAAUCGACCGGCUGGGUCUUUCGUCCCCUCAGCGUUGUGGAAACUAUUCGCUAAAGGGUGCCGCGGGAGGCCACGCCGUAAAACAACCCCAUUUCUAAGGUUGACCUCGGAUCAGGUAGGGAUACCCGCUGAACUUAAGCAUAUCAAUAAGCGGAGGAAAGGGCGAAUU